GUUUACGGCCAUACCAGCCUGAAUACGUCUGAUCUCGGAAGCUAAGCAGGGUUGGGCCUGGUUAGUACUUGGAUGGGAGACCGCCUGGGAAUACCAGGUGCUGUAAGCU
ensembl:rRNA 5S_rRNA 5S ribosomal RNA